UUUUCGGACAAUGGAUGUAGAGGAAAGUGGCGGACGGGUGAGUAACGCGUGAGGAACCUGCCUUGAAGAGGGGGACAACAGUUGGAAACGACUGCUAAUACCGCAUGACGCAUGACCGGGGCAUCCCGGGCAUGUCAAAGAUUUUAUCGCUGGAAGAUGGCCUCGCGUCUGAUUAGCUAGAUGGUGGGGUAACGGCCCACCAUGGCGACGAUCAGUAGCCGGACUGAGAGGUUGACCGGCCACAUUGGGACUGAGAUACGGCCCAGACUCC
rnacentral:rRNA from 1 species